UUUUUGAAAUUGUUAUUUGGAUGGAGAGUUGUCUCAUUGGCACUCACACCACAUCUUCCUAUAUCUAAAUAGGUACAAAAUUUUAACAAAAUUUCCUUCUAGAUACUAACUUUUGAUCAUAAACAAUAUUCUGUCUAAGUUUGGUACAAAUCCAGGAUAGUAUAAGAAGGUUAUUAAAAAUUUUAAAACAUUAAUCACAGAGAGAAUGUUAUGUUUCCUGGUAGAAAAACUAAUUCCAUUUGUAAGUAAAUUAUGGGAAAAAUGGAACUUUAAUUUUGACAAAAUAUACUUCUCCUUCUUCUGGAUACUAUCCUUUCAAGAACGUUAUUAAAAUUUCAAAAACUUUAACCACAGAGUGAAAUUUAUAUUUGUGGACACAGCCCACGCUGACGGAAUGUAGGAUCGCUAUGUCUCGCUUUUUUGACUAAAGUCGAAGGUUCGACAAAAAUUUACCGGUAUCAGGUCCGUUCGCGCCCAAUAUACUUUUGCAACCUACACGUUCUCACCUCACACGUUUGCCCCCCGCAGUCGGUUCACACCCUUCACGUAAAUUUAAAAUAGCCUUCCAAGACGUCAUAAUUAUUUGGACUAGUUCACGCCCAAUUAUUUUUCGAAUUUCAGUUGAAUUAUUAGAUAUUUUUUAUACUGCUAAUUGGUAUUCAUACACAGC
rnacentral:lncRNA from 1 species